rnacentral:rRNA from 1 species
GACGAACGCUGGCGGCGUGCUUAACACAUGCAAGUCGAACGGAAAGGCCCUGCUUUUGUGGGGUGCUCGAGUGGCGAACGGGUGAGUAACACGUGAGUAACCUGCCCUUGACUUUGGGAUAACUUCAGGAAACUGGGGCUAAUACCGGAUAGGAGCUCCUGCUGCAUGGUGGGGGUUGGAAAGUUUCGGCGGUUGGGGAUGGACUCGCGGCUUAUCAGCUUGUUGGUGGGGUAGUGGCUUACCAAGGCUUUGACGGGUAGCCGGCCUGAGAGGGUGACCGGCCACAUUGGGACUGAGAUACGGCCCAGACUCCUACGGGAGGCAGCAGUGGGGAAGUUUGCACAAUGGGCGGAAGCCUGAUGCAGCAACGCCGCGUGAGGGAUGACGGCCUUCGGGUUGUAAACCGCUUUCGCCUGUGACGAAGCGUGAGUGACGGUAAUGGGUAAAGAAGCACCGGCUAACUACGUG